CUGGCUCAGAAUCAACGCUGGCGGCGUGCCUAACACAUGCAAGUCGAACGCGGUUAGUAGCAAUACUAACUGAGUGGCGAACGGGUGAGUAACACGUGGGUGACCUACCUUCGAGUGGGGGAUAACGUCCCGAAAGGGACGCUAAUACCGCAUAACAUCCUGCCUUUGAACAGGCGGUGAUCAAAGCCGGGGACCGUAAGGCCCGGCGCUUGAUGAGGGGCUCGCGUCUGAUUAGCUAGUUGGUGAGGUAACGGCCCACCAAGGCGACGAUCAGUAUCCGGCCUGAGAGGGCGGACGGACACACUGGGACUGAGACACGGCCCAGACUCCUACGGGAGGCAGCAGUGGGGAAUUGUUCACAAUGGGCGCAAGCCUGAUGACGCAACGCCGCGUGGAGGAUGAAGGUCUUCGGAUUGUAAACUCCUGUUGCCCGGGACGAAAAGCUUCGACCUAA
rnacentral:rRNA from 1 species